rnacentral:lncRNA from 1 species
CUCCAGACAACAGACAGAAAAUUACGAACAUUUUUUAUCUCCCUACAGAUUCUACAUUAAAAAAAAAUAUUACUCCAGACAACAGACAGAAAACUACGUACAUUUUUUAUCUCCCUACAUAUUCUACAUCAAAAAACAUCAGACACUGCAAAAAGAAAGAUACAAAAAGAAAAAAAAAUCAGAAUAAAAAAAAAUCAAAACAAAA